rnacentral:rRNA from 1 species
CCACUGGAGAGUUUGAUCCUGGCUCAGGAUGAACGCUAGCGGCAGGCUUAACACAUGCAAGUCGAGGGGUAUAGUUCUUCGGAACUAGAGACCGGCGCACGGGUGCGUAACGCGUAUGCAAUCUACCUUUCACAGAGGGAUAGCCCAGAGAAAUUUGGAUUAAUACCUCAUAGUAUAAUUGAAUGGCAUCAUUUAAUUAUUAAAGUCACAACGGUGAAAGAUGAGCAUGCGUCCCAUUAGCUUGUUGGUAAGGUAACGGCUUACCAAGGCAACGAUGGGUAGGGGUCCUGAGAGGGAGAUCCCCCACACUGGUACUGAGACACGGACCAGACUCCUACGGGAGGCAGCAGUGAGGAAUAUUGGUCAAUGGGCGCAAGCCUAAACCAGCCAUGCCGCGUGCAGGAUGACGGUCCUAUGGAUUGUAAACUGCUUUUGUACAGGAAGAAACACUGGUUCGUGAACCAGCUUGACGGUACUGUAAGAAUAAGGAUCGGCUAACUCCGUGCCAGCAGCCGCGGUAAUACGGAGGAUCCAAGCGUUAUCCGGAAUCAUUGGGUUUAAAGGGUCCGUAGGCGGUCAGAUAAGUCAGUGGUGAAAGCCCAUCGCUCAACGGUGGAACGGCCAUUGAUACUGUCUGACUUGAAUUAUUAGGAAGUAGCUAGAAUAUGUAGUGUAGCGGUGAAAUGCUUAGAGAUUACGUGGAAUACCAAUUGCGAAGGCAGGUUACUACUAAUGGAUUGACGCUGAUGGACGAAAGCAUGGGGAGCAAACAGGAUUAGAUACCCUGGUAGUCCAUGCCGUAAACGAUGUCAACUAGCCGUUGGGAGCCUUGAGCUCUUAGUGGCGCAGCUAACGCAUUAAGUUGACCGCCUGGGGAGUACGGCCGCAAGGUUAAAACUCAAAUGAAUUGACGGGGGCCCGCACAAGCGGUGGAGCAUGUGGUUUAAUUCGAAGCAACGCGAAGAACCUUACCAGGCCUUGACAUCCAAUGAACUUUCUAGAGAUAGAUUGGUGCCUUCGGGAACAUUGAGACAGGUGCUGCAUGGCUGUCGUCAGCUCGUGUCGUGAGAUGUUGGGUUAAGUCCCGUAACGAGCGCAACCCUUGUCCUUAGUUACCAGCACGUAAUGGUGGGCACUCUAAGGAGACUGCCGGUGACAAACCGGAGGAAGGUGGGGAUGACGUCAAGUCCUCAUGGCCCUUAUAGGUGGGGCUACACACGUCAUACAAUGGCUGGUACAGAAGGUUGCCAACCCGCGAGGGGGAGCUAAUCCUAUAAAGCCAGUCGUAGUCCGGAUCGCAGUCUGCAACUCGACUGCGUGAAGUCGGAAUCGCUAGUAAUCGCGGAUCAGAAUGUCGCGGUGAAUACGUUCCCGGGUCUUGUACACACCGCCCGUCACACCAUGGGAGCGGGUCUCGCCAGAAGUAGGUAGCCUAACCGCAAGGAGGGCGCUUACCACGGCGGGGUUCGUGACUGGGGUGAAGUCGUAACAAGGUAACCGCACAG